rnacentral:lncRNA from 12 species
CAGCCAAAACCUGUGCAAAGUCUGGCACUUUUGCUUGCUGUCUUUACAAGAGAUAUUGUCAUUAUUUAUUGAUCAGUUUGUUUGGGUUUUUUUAUGUUGCAGUAGCUUCUUGGAUGGGAACCCUUAGGCCAGGGGCCAUACAAAAUCAAAAUAGAAAGACAGUCCAAAGGAGCUCACAGUCAGACAAGAGACAACAAAUGACUAUUACACACAAUGGCAAGCUAGAUUUUCUGCAAAGCCGGAAACGUGUCUGUUGCUUUCGAUGUGCUGGAUUUGUUACACACCUUCCUCAGAAAGUUCCUGACCUAAAACACAUGGAAAAAGAUGGGAGUGUUUUUGCUGGCUUCAGUGGACCUUGGAUGAGCCAAAAUCUUAAAUGCAGAAUACUUUAGUGGAAAUGAGAUAUUAUGUUUGCAGCUGAACUUUUGUCACCCUAAAGCCUCAUGCCUCAAAAGAUUUAUUCAGGGACUUCCUUGUUUACUAGUACUAUUAGUUUAGUAGUUCCUCCCAUUUUUUCCCUUUAAAUGAACAUGUUCCAAAACCAACCCCUGCCACCUAAUAUUGGGAUUGUUUUCUGCUUGAAUCAAAAUAUUUUGGUCUCACGUCCAGCUUGUGCAGAUUCACAUACCUUAGUUAAAAUGCAAAUAAUUUCUUCUUAAUAAUGCCACCAGUCUGACAGAGACUUCACAUGACAAGUUUUGAAGAAUUUGCUUCUCCAGCAACUGUACAGUCUGAGCAAGUAUCUGGAUACUUUCUUAUAUGAGAUGGGUUUGUGCAUCAGCAGUAACAGAGGAUACAGCAG